GCCUUGCUAGCUCAAUCGGUAGAGCGUGCGUGAGACUCUUAAUCUCAAGGUUGCGUCAAGGUUGCGGGUUCGACCCCCGCGUGAGGCU
rnacentral:tRNA from 2 species